rnacentral:lncRNA from 1 species
GGAAGGGAAGGAAGUGAAAUGGCAAACUGAGAAGCAGAAAUCUCAAUCUUAUUGGAAAUCUAGCUGUGGAACAGGAAAGCUAAGACACAGGUACACUUACCCUGGGAGCUGGUAUUUCUGUACCCAGAAGUACUGCCUUCACGUGGAUGACAGCCAUCUGGGUGAUGACUGACGUUUCUCCAUGGCUUUUUGCCUUGUAUAAACACAUGGGGAAAUUCUGUAAAAGAAAGUAAAUCAGAAAACACUGAAUUCCUUCAGGUGCAGGUAUGAGUAGAAAACACAUUCUGCAUUUCCACUUCCAAUCAAGGAAUCAAAUGCAUCUGAGUGACUUCAAAAAGCCAAUGCACAAUGGCAGCUGGUUCCAAGCUAUCCAGGAGGAGGCUAGGAGAUAAACAUCACCCUUUCUUCUGGACACUGUAAAAAUGUCUGUACAAUAAUUUACUCCGUCACCAACAGUAACCUGACCUCUUUUUUGAAGAGCAUGAGAAAAUGUGUUAAUGAAGAACAUCUCAGAAGCCCCAUAUAUCUAUUUCAAUACCUUUGUUUGAACUGGAGACAAGUUCGAGGACGACUGUGUGUGUACCCGUGGAGGUGAGCAUAGGCUGCUGUGAAAAGCUCAGUCUCCUUAACGAUACUCUGUAAAAUAAAAGGUAAGAAAGAACUGAAAUAGAAGUUGGC